rnacentral:rRNA from 1 species
GGUUAAGUGACUAAGCGUACACGGUGGAUGCCUAGGCAGUCAGAGGCGAUGAAGGGCGUGCUAAUCUGCGAAAAGCGCCGGUAAGCUGAUAUGAAGCGUUAUCAGCCGGCGAUGUCCGAAUGGGGAAACCCAGUGCAAUUCGUUGCACUAUCGUUACGUGAAUCCAUAGCGUAACGAGGCGAACCGGGGGAACUGAAACAUCUCAGUACCCCGAGGAAAAGAAAUCAACCGAGAUUCCCCCAGUAGCGGCGAGCGAACGGGGAACAGCCCAGAACCACCAUCAGCUUUUGCAUCAGGAGAACGGUCUGGAAAGUCCGGCGACAGAGGGUGAUAGCCCCGUAUCCGAAGGUGCAGAGUUGUGGGUUCGAUGAGUAGGGCGGGACACGUGAUAUCCUGUCUGAAGAUGGGGGGACCAUCCUCCAAGGCUAAAUACUCCUGACUGACCGAUAGUGAACCAGUACCGUGAGGGAAAGGCGAAAAGAACCCCGGCGAGGGGAGUGAAACAGAACCUGAAACCGUGUACGUACAAGCAGUGGGAGCCCCUUGAGAAAUCAGGGUGACUGCGUACCUUUUGUAUAAUGGGUCAGCGACUUAUAUUCUGUAGCAAGGUUAACCGAAUAGGGGAGCCGUAGGGAAACCGAGUCUUAACUGGGCGUUAGUUGCAGGGUAUAGACCCGAAACCCGGUGAUCUAGCCAUGGGCAGGUUGAAGGUUGGGUAACACUAACUGGAGGACCGAACCGACUAAUGUUGAAAAAUUAGCGGAUGACUUGUGGCUGGGGGUGAAAGGCCAAUCAAACCGGGAGAUAGCUGGUUCUCCCCGAAAGCUAUUUAGGUAGCGCCUCGUGAAUUCAUCUUCGGGGGUAGAGCACUGUUUCGGCUAGGGGUCCACCCCGGAUUACCAACCCGAUGCAAACUGCGAAUACCGAAGAAUGUUAUCACGGGAGACACACGGCGGGUGCUAACGUCCGUCGUGAAGAGGGAAACAACCCAGACCGCCAGCUAAGGUCCCAAAGUCAUGGUUAAGUGGGAAACGAUGUGGGAAGGCACAGACAGCCAGGAUGUUGGCUUAGAAGCAGCCAUCAUUUAAAGAAAGCGUAAUAGCUCACUGGUCGAGUCGGCCUGCGCGGAAGAUGUAACGGGGCUAAACCAUGCACCGAAGCCGCGGCAGCGACACAAGUAUUUUAAGGAUAUGUCCGUUGGGUAGGGGAGCGUUCUGUAAGCCUGAGAAGGUGGCCUGUGAGGGUUGCUGGAGGUAUCAGAAGUGCGAAUGCUGACAUAAGUAACGAUAAAGCGGGUGAAAAGCCCGCUCGCCGGAAGACCAAGGGUUCCUGUUCAACGUUAAUCGGAGCAGGGUGAGUCGACCCCUAAGGCGAGGCCGAAAGGCGUAGUCGAUGGGAAACAGGUUAAUAUUCCUGUACUGGGUGUGACUGCGAAGGGGGGACGGAGAAAGCUAGACCGGCCGGGCGACGGUUGUCCCGGUUCAAGCGUGCAGGUGGAGAGGACAGGAAAAUCCGUUCUCUUAUAACACUGAGGCGUGAUGACGAGCCACUACGGUGGUGAAGGGGUUGAUGCUACGCUUCCAGGAAAAGCCUCUAAGCACCAGGUCACAUCGAAUCGUACCCCAAACCGACACAGGUGGUCAGGUAGAGAAUACCGAGGCGCUUGAGAGAACUCGGGUGAAGGAACUAGGCAAAAUGGUGCCGUAACUUCGGGAGAAGGCACGCUGGCGUUAGGUGGAGGGACUUGCUUCCCGAGCCGAAGCCAGUCGCAGAUACCAGCUGGCUGCAACUGUUUAUUAAAAACACAGCACUGUGCAAACACGAAAGUGGACGUAUACGGUGUGACGCCUGCCCGGUGCCGGAAGGUUAAUUGAUGGGGUUAUCCGUAAGGAGAAGCUCUUGAUCGAAGCCCCGGUAAACGGCGGCCGUAACUAUAACGGUCCUAAGGUAGCGAAAUUCCUUGUCGGGUAAGUUCCGACCUGCACGAAUGGCGUAAUGAUGGCCAGGCUGUCUCCACCCGAGACUCAGUGAAAUUGAACUCGCUGUGAAGAUGCAGUGUACCCGCGGCAAGACGGAAAGACCCCGUGAACCUUUACUAUAGCUUGACACUGAACAUUGAGCCUUGAUGUGUAGGAUAGGUGGGAGGCUUUGAAGUGUGGACGCCAGUCCGCAUGGAGCCAACCUUGAAAUACCACCCUUUAAUGUUUGAUGUUCUAACUCCGGCCCCUAAUCGGGGUCGAGGACAGUGUCUGGUGGGUAGUUUGACUGGGGCGGUCUCCUCCUAAAGAGUAACGGAGGAGCACGAAGGUUAGCUAAUCACGGUCGGACAUCGUGAGGUUAGUGCAAAGGCAUAAGCCAGCUUGACUGCGAGAGUGACGGCUCGAGCAGGUGCGAAAGCAGGUCAUAGUGAUCCGGUGGUUCUGAAUGGAAGGGCCAUCGCUCAACGGAUAAAAGGUACUCCGGGGAUAACAGGCUGAUACCGCCCAAGAGUUCAUAUCGACGGCGGUGUUUGGCACCUCGAUGUCGGCUCAUCACAUCCUGGGGCUGAAGUAGGUCCCAAGGGUACGGCUGUUCGCCGUUUAAAGUGGUACGCGAGCUGGGUUUAGAACGUCGUGAGACAGUUCGGUCCCUAUCUGCCGUGGGCGUUGGAAGAUUGAGGGGGUUGCUCCUAGUACGAGAGGACCGGAGUGGACGCACCACUGGUGUUCGGGUUGUCAUGCCAAUGGCAUUGCCCGGUAGCUACGUGCGGAAGAGAUAACCGCUGAAAGCAUCUAAGCGGGAAACUUGCCUCGAGAUGAGUCUUCCCUGUGACCUUGAGUCACCUGAAGGGACGUUAAAGACGAUGACGUUGAUAGGCCGGGUGUGUAAGCGCAGCGAUGCAUUGAGCUAACCGGUACUAAUGACCCGUGAGGCUUAACCUU